rnacentral:rRNA from 1 species
GAGUUUGAUCGUGGCUCAGAUUGAACGCUGGCGGCAUGCCUUACACAUGCAAGUCGAACGGCAGCAUGAUCUAGCUUGCUAGAUUGAUGGCGAGUGGCGAACGGGUGAGUAAUACAUCGGAACGUGCCCUGUAGUGGGGAUAACUAGUCGAAAGAUUAGCUAAUACCGCAUACGACCUGAGGGUGAAAGUGGGGGACCGCAAGGCCUCAUGCUAUAGGAGCGGCCGAUGUCUGAUUAGCUAGUUGGUGGGGUAAAGGCCCACCAAGGCGACGAUCAGUAGCUGGUCUGAGAGGACGAUCAGCCACACUGGGACUGAGACACGGCCCAGACUCCUACGGGAGGCAGCAGUGGGGAAUUUUGGACGAUGGGCGAAAGCCUGAUCCAGCAAUGCCGCGUGUGUGAAGAAGGCC